ensembl:processed_transcript
GUCGAGCGUCAUGGCAUGUUGGCUGCGGACGAGUUGGGGGAAAGAUGCUCAUUUUAUCCAUAAUAUGCUUCCUAAAGGCACUACUGCUGCAUUUUCGCUGUCCCAACAAACCACAUGCCAUUUGAAAUCGUACCUGCGCAGAAAGCAGAUCCAUCAUAAACAUUGGAGGUCUCUCUGAAAGGGCUAUCGGUUCCGCUGACAUCAUGGUGGUCUCUGCUGAUCACCACUGGAGCCUGACUUCGCGGAUCCAGCGGAUGUUGUCGCUGUAUUGCUGUCGGACUCGUUCAGUAACUGUGGAGCUGAUGUCUUCUAGUACAGCGGUAGCGAUUGCAUCUGUCUCCACCAGGUCAGCAGGGUCACCAGAGGUACAGACCCAACGAAAUGGCCCAAAACCCAGUGAAAAAAUGUCUCUACAGGCACGAGCAAAGAAUAAAGUGAGUCUGCUAAUGUGUGUAUGUGUAUAUGUGUGUUAGUGGAUAGUUGCUUACCCCAUUAUGUGCUGGACAUAUGAGGGAUAUUUAAACUCAGUUGC